UAGGGAAUCUUCGGCAAUGGGGGGAACCCUGACCGAGCAACGCCGCGUGAGUGAAGAAGGUUUUCGGAUCGUAAAGCUCUGUUGUUAAGGAAGAACGAGUGUGAGAAUGGAAAGUUCAUGCUGUGACGGUACUUAACCAGAAAGGGACGGCUAACUACGUGCCAGCAGCCGCGGUAAUACGUAGGUCCCGAGCGUUGUCCGGAUUUAUUGGGCGUAAAGCGAGCGCAGGCGGUUAGAAAAGUCUGAUGUGAAAGCCCCCGGCUCAACCGGGGAGGGUCAUUGGAAACUGGUUGACUUGAGUGCAGAAGAGGAGAGUGGAAUUCCAUGUGUAGCGGUGACAUGCGUAGAUAUAUGGAGGAACACCAGUGGCGAAGGCGACUCUCUGGUCUGUAACUGACGCAGAGGCUCGAAAGCGUGGGUAGCAAACAGG
rnacentral:rRNA from 1 species